UACGGGGGGGCAAGCGUUGUUCGGAAUUACUGGGCGUAAAGGGCUCGUAGGCGGCCAACUAAGUCGGAUGUGAAAUCCCCAGGCUUAACCUGGGAACUGCAUCCGAUACUGGAUGGCUUGAAUCCGGGAGAGGGAUGCAGAAUUCCAGGUGUAGCGGUGAAAUGCGUAGAUAUCUGGAGGAACACCGGUGGCGAAGGCGGUUCUCUGGGACGGUACUGACGCUGAGACGCGAAAGCGUGGGGAGCGAACAGG
rnacentral:rRNA from 1 species